rnacentral:snRNA from 1 species
GUGCUCGAUUCGGCAGCAAAUAAACUAAAAUUGGAUCGAUACAGAGAAGAUUAGCAUGGCCCCUGCAUAAGGAUGACAUGCAAAUUUGUGAAGCAUUCCACCAAAGA